rnacentral:rRNA from 1 species
GUGUGUUCCAGGUAAAUCCGGUUCACUUUAACACUGAGGCGUGACGACGAGGCACUACGGUGCUGAAGCAACAAAUGCCCUGCUUCCAGGAAAAGCCUCUAAGCAUCAGGUAACAUCAAAUCGUACCCCAAACCGACACAGGUGGUCAGGUAGAGAAUACCAAGGCGCUUGAGAGAACUCGGGUGAAGGAACUAGGCAAAAUGGUGCCGUAACUUCGGGAGAAGGCACGCUGACACGUAGGUGAAGUGAUUUACUCAUGGAGCUGAAGUCAGUCGAAGAUACCAGCUGGCUGCAACUGUUUAUUAAAAACACAGCACUGUGCAAACACGAAAGUGGACGUAUACGGUGUGACGCCUGCCCGGUGCCGGAAGGUUAAUUGAUGGGGUCAGCGCAAGCGAAGCUCCUGAUCGAAGCCCCGGUAAACGGCGGCCGUAACUAUAACGGUCCUAAGGUAGCGAAAUUCCUUGUCGGGUAAGUUCCGACCUGCACGAAUGGCGUAAUGAUGGCCAGGCUGUCUCCACCCGAGACUCAGUGAAAUUGAACUCGCUGUGAAGAUGCAGUGUACCCGCGGCAAGACGGAAAGACCCCGUGAACCUUUACUAUAGCUUGACACUGAACAUUGAGCCUUGAUGUGUAGGAUAGGUGGGAGGCUUUGAAGUGUGGACGCCAGUCUGCAUGGAGCCGACCUUGAAAUACCACCCUUUAAUGUUUGAUGUUCUAACGUGGACCCGUUACCCGGGUUGCGGACAGUGUCUGGUGGGUAGUUUGACUGGGGCGGUCUCCUCCUAAAGAGUAACGGAGGAGCACGAAGGUUGGCUAAUCCUGGUCGGACAUCAGGAGGUUAGUGCAAUGGCAUAAGCCAGCUUGACUGCGAGCGUGACGGCGCGAGCAGGUGCGAAAGCAGGUCAUAGUGAUCCGGUGGUUCUGAAUGGAAGGGCCAUCGCUCAACGGAUAAAAGGUACUCCGGGGAUAACAGGCUGAUACCGCCCAAGAGUUCAUAUCGACGGCGGUGUUUGGCACCUCGAUGUCGGCUCAUCACAUCCUGGGGCUGAAGUAGGUCCCAAGGGUAUGGCUGUUCGCCAUUUAAAGUGGUACGCGAGCUGGGUUUAGAACGUCGUGAGACAGUUCGGUCCCUAUCUGCCGUGGGCGCUGGAGAACUGAGGGGGGCUGCUCCUAGUACGAGAGGACCGGAGUGGACGCAUCACUGGUGUUCGGGUUGUCAUGCCAAUGGCACUGCCCGGUAGCUAAAUGCGGAAGAGAUAAGUGCUGAAAGCAUCUAAGCACGAAACUUGCCCCGAGAUGAGUUCUCCCUGAGACUUAAAGUCUCCUGAAGGAACGUUGAAGACGACGACGUUGAUAGGCCGGGUGUGUAAGCGCAGCGAUGCGUUGAGCUAACCGGUACUAAUGAACCGUGAGGCUUAACCUUACAACGCCGAAG